rnacentral:rRNA from 1 species
CCUACGGGAGGCAGCAGUGGGGGAUAUUGCACAAUGGGGGGAACCCUGAUGCAGCGACGCCGCGUGGGUGAAGGAGUAGUUCGGUAGGUAAAGCCCUAUCGGCAGGGAAGAAAUUGGACGGUACCUGACUAAGAAGCCCCGGCUAACUACGGGCCAGCAGCAGCGGUAAGACGUAGGGGGCAAGCGUUAUCCGGAUUCACUGGGGGGAAAGGGAGCGUAGACGGCCAUGCAAGCCAGGGGUGAAAGCCCGGGGCCCAACCCCGGGACUGCCCUUUGAACUGCAUGGCUGGAGUGCGGGAGGGGCAGGCGGAAUUCCUGGUGUAGCGGUGAAUGGCGUAGAUAUCAGGAGGAACACCGGCGGCGAAUGCGGCCUGCUGGACCGCGACUGACGUUGAGGCUCGAAAGCGUGGGGAGCGAACAGGAUUAGAUACCCGAGUAGUC